CCAUGGCAUGCCUCAGUAGCGGCGAGUGAGCGGCAAGAGCUCAGAUUUGAAAUCUCACCUAGUGUGCGAGUUGUAAAUUGCAGGUUGGAGUCUCGGGUUAGACGUGUGUGCAAGUCCCUUGGAACAGGGUGCCACUGAGGGUGAGAGCCCCGUAGCGUGCAUGUCGACACCUGUGAGGCCCUUCUGACGAGUCGAGUUGUUUGGGAAUGCAGCUCUAAGUGGGUGGUAAAUUCCAUCUAAGGCUAAAUAUUGGCGAGAGACCGAUAGCGAACAAGUACUGUGAAGGAAAGAUGAAAAGCACUUUGAAAAGAGAGUGAAACAGCACGUGAAAUUGUUGAAAGGGAAGGGUAUUGGGCUCGACAUGGGAUUUACGCAUCGUUGCCUCUCGUGGGCGGCGCUCUGGGUUUUUCCUGGGCCAGCAUCGGUUUUCGUUGCAGGAUAAGGACAAUUGGAAUGUGGCUCCUCGGAGUGUUAUAGCCUUUUGUAGAUGCUGCGUAUGGGGACCGAGGGCUGCGGCGGACUCGUUUCGUCUCGGAUGCUGGCACAACGGCGCAAUACCGCCCGUCUUGA
rnacentral:rRNA from 1 species